rnacentral:rRNA from 1 species
GAUGAACGCUGGCGGCGUGCCUAAUACAUGCAAGUCGAGCGAACGGACGAGAAGCUUGCUUCUCUGAUGUUAGCGGCGGACGGGUGAGUAACACGUGGAUAACCGACCUAUAAGACUGGGAUAACGUCGGGAAACCGGAGCUAAUACCGGAUAAGAGUGUGAAACGCAUGGUUCAAAAGUGAAAGACGGUCUUGCUGUCACUUAUAGAUGGAUCCGCGCUGCAUUAGCUAGUUGGUAAGGUAACGGCUUACCAAGGCAACGAUGCAUAGCCGACCUGAGAGGGUGAUCGGCCACACUGGAACUGAGACACGGUCCAGACUCCUACGGGAGGCAGCAGUAGGGAAUCUUCCGCAAUGGGCGAAAGCCUGACGGAGCAACGCCGCGUGAGUGAUGAAGGUCUUCGGAUCGUAAAACUCUGUUAUUAGGGAAGAACAUAUGUGUAAGUAACUGUGCACAUCUUGACGGUACCUAAUCAGAAAGCCACGGCUAACUACGUG